AGAGAGAUAGCUCAGUAGCAGGGCACAGGCCUUGCAAGCCUGAGGUGCCAUCUUGAUCCCCAGUACUACAUAUAUAAGAAUUAAACCAUGCUCAAGUCACCCUUCUCUCUCUC
rnacentral:tRNA from 1 species